AUGGACGGCGCCAGCUGCCCCUUGUUAUCCGGGGAUCAGGGACUGGGGACGGGGCCCGAGCGCCCCUCGCCCGGCCAGCCGCACCUGUGGCCAUGUCAGGGGCGCCGAUGGCAAGGAAAGAGCGAGCACCGGCUUCAGCUCCGAAACUUGGCCUCCCCGGGCCGCGACCCCAACCCGCAGCCCCUCACGCAGGCCCGGGCCCAGCGGCCUCCUUCGGAGGAAGGGCGGGGACGGUACUCACUGAGGGGCGGCCGGCCGCAGGGAGCAGGGAGGCCGAAUCUCCCGGCCCGGGCGCUUCGAGCUGGAACUGGCGCAGGCCCGCAGCCGUCCUCCCCGGCCCGGCGGCUCGGUCCCCCCCCAGCCAGCCCGCCGGCUACCCGCCGGCCGCCUUGCGGGCCUCGCGCUUCUGCUCACCCUCUGCUCACGCACGCGACCCCGGGAGCAAUGCGCCCGCGCCCCUUCUACACCCGCGAGCACCGGCGCGCGGUGCCCCGGACCCAGGCGCCACCGCCGCUGGCCCUUACUCGGUGCCUCCGCCGCUCGGCGGCCCUUUGCUUCGGUCGCCGCUCCCCUCCCAGCCGCCCGCGCCGGUCACAGCUCCGCUCCCCGCAGCCUUCCCUCUCGCGCCCCCACCCCGACCCGCUCGGGCUGUCUCUCUUCAGCCGCCGUAACUGCAGCCCGGCCCUCCGCCCCUCCUCUUCGGCCCCCUCCCCCUUAAUAACUCCCUCCACGCACCCGGGCCCCGGCGCCGCCUUCCCCGCCGCACGCCCGGAUGUGAGGUGGCUGCAGCGGUGCCGGGCGGAAAAGAAGCAUCGCCGCGCGCCCCCCAGACGCCAUCCCCUGCGCGGGCCGGGAGGUGGGGAGGCGGUGGCGACGAGGAGGAGGCCGCGGUGGGGACAGCAGAAGCCCGCUCCCGUGCGCGCAGGCGGUCGCCGUGGGCAGCCCCGAGGCCGCCGCCACCGCGUUCCCACGCGCACUGCGGGGCGGAGCGGGUGGCACUUGGGACCCGAGACUCGCGGCACGACACUCUCCCGGGGAGGCGGCGGCGAGAUGGGCCUGGGCUGGCGGCUAGCGCGGCGUGUGGCGCGACCACCCCUGUAUUUGCACGCCUGCACGGAAAGGGGAAGUGCGAGUGGAGUUGAGACCGCGAAUGUCAAGCGCUUACCACGUAGUGCAGACUCGGCUGACGGGGCCACAGAAAUGCAAAUAUGUGAGCAGUGCGAGUAA
rnacentral:lncRNA from 1 species